rnacentral:rRNA from 1 species
UACGAAGGGGGCUAGCGUUGCUCGGAUUUACUGGGCGUAAAGGGCGCGUAGGCGGCCAUUCAAGUUAGGUGUGAAAGCCCUGGGCUCAACCUAGGAAUUGCACUUGAUACUGUUUGGCUUGAGUUCGGGAGAGGUGAGUGGAAUUCCCAGUGUAGAGGUGAAAUUCGUAGAUAUUGGGAAGAACACCAGUGGCGAAGGCGGCUCACUGGACCGACACUGACGCUGAGGCGCGAAAGCGUGGGGAGCAAACAGGG